rnacentral:tRNA from 1 species
AGCUCAAUCGGUUAGAGCCGGCCGCUCAUAACGGUCUGGUUGCAGGUUCGAGUCCUGCC